CUGACCUUAGCUCAGUGGUUAGAGUGGUGGACUGUAGUUGGACUAAUCUAAAUUGGAAAAUCCUUAAGGUCGCUGGUUUGAUUCCGGCAGGUUGGG
rnacentral:tRNA from 1 species